UUAAAUUGAAGAGUUUGAUCAUGGCUCAGAUUGAACGCUGGCGGCAGGCCUAACACAUGCAAGUCGAACGGUAACAGGAAACAGCUUGCUGUUUCGCUGACGAGUGGCGGACGGGUGAGUAAUGUCUGGGAAACUGCCUGAUGGAGGGGGAUAACUACUGGAAACGGUAGCUAAUACCGCAUAACGUCGCAAGACCAAAGAGGGGGACCUUCGGGCCUCUUGCCAUCGGAUGUGCCCAGAUGGGAUUAGCUUGUUGGUGGGGUAACGGCUCACCAAGGCGACGAUCCCUAGCUGGUCUGAGAGGAUGACCAGCCACACUGGAACUGAGACACGGUCCAGACUCCUACGGGAGGCAGCAGUGGGGAAUAUUGCACAAUGGGCGCAAGCCUGAUGCAGCCAUGCCGCGUGUAUGAAGAAGGCCUUCGGGUUGUAAAGUACUUUCAGCGGGGAGGAAGGGAGUAAAGUUAAUACCUUUGCUCAUUGACGUUACCCGCAGAAGAAGCACCGGCUAACUCCGUGCCAGCAGCCGCGGUAAUACGGAGGGUGCAAGCGUUAAUCGGAAUUACUGGGCGUAAAGCGCACGCAGGCGGUUUGUUAAGUCAGAUGUGAAAUCCCCGGGCUCAACCUGGGAACUGCAUCUGAUACUGGCAAGCUUGAGUCUCGUAGAGGGGGGUAGAAUUCCAGGUGUAGCGGUGAAAUGCGUAGAGAUCUGGAGGAAUACCGGUGGCGAAGGCGGCCCCCUGGACGAAGACUGACGCUCAGGUGCGAAAGCGUGGGGAGCAAACAGGAUUAGAUACCCUGGUAGUCCACGCCGUAAACGAUGUCGACUUGGAGGUUGUGCCCUUGAGGCGUGGCUUCCGGAGCUAACGCGUUAAGUCGACCGCCUGGGGAGUACGGCCGCAAGGUUAAAACUCAAAUGAAUUGACGGGGCCCGCACAAGCGGUGGAGCAUGUGGUUUAAUUCGAUGCAACGCGAAGAACCUUACCUGGUCUUGACAUCCACGGAAGUUUUCAGAGAUGAGAAUGUGCCUUCGGGAACCGUGAGACAGGUGCUGCAUGGCUGUCGUCAGCUCGUGUUGUGAAAUGUUGGGUUAAGUCCCGCAACGAGCGCAACCCUUAUCCUUUGUUGCCAGCGGUCCGGCCGGGAACUCAAAGGAGACUGCCAGUGAUAAACUGGAGGAAGGUGGGGAUGACGUCAAGUCAUCAUGGCCCUUACGACCAGGGCUACACACGUGCUACAAUGGCGCAUACAAAGAGAAGCGACCUCGCGAGAGCAAGCGGACCUCAUAAAGUGCGUCGUAGUCCGGAUUGGAGUCUGCAACUCGACUCCAUGAAGUCGGAAUCGCUAGUAAUCGUGGAUCAGAAUGCCACGGUGAAUACGUUCCCGGGCCUUGUACACACCGCCCGUCACACCAUGGGAGUGGGUUGCAAAAGAAGUAGGUAGCUUAACCUUCGGGAGGGCGCUUACCACUUUGUGAUUCAUGACUGGGGUGAAGUCGUAACAAGGUAACCGUAGGGGAACCUGCAGUUGGAUCACCUCCUUACCUUAAAGAAGC
rnacentral:rRNA from 1 species